rnacentral:rRNA from 1 species
GGAUCUUCGGACCUCACGCUAUCAGAUGAGCCUAGGUCGGAUUAGCUAGUUGGUGGGGUAAAGGCCUACCAAGGCGACGAUCCGUAACUGGUCUGAGAGGAUGAUCAGUCACACUGGAACUGAGACACGGUCCAGACUCCUACGGGAGGCAGCAGUGGGGAAUAUUGGACAAUGGGCGAAAGCCUGAUCCAGCCAUGCCGCGUGUGUGAAGAAGGUCUUCGGAUUGUAAAGCACUUUAAGUUGGGAGGAAGGGCAGUAAGUUAAUACCUUGCUGUUUUGACGUUACCAACAGAAUAAGCACCGGCUAACUUCGUGCCAGCAGCCGCGGUAAUACGAAGGGUGCAAGCGUUAAUCGGAAUUACUGGGCGUAAAGCGCGCGUAGGUGGUUCAGCAAGUUGGAUGUGAAAUCCCCGGGCUCAACCUGGGAACUGCAUCCAAAACUACUGAGCUAGAGUACGGUAGAGGGUGGUGGAAUUUCCUGUGUAGCGGUGAAAUGCGUAGAUAUAGGAAAGGAACACCAGUGGCGAAAGCGACCACCUGGGACUGAUACUGACACUGAGGGUGCGGAAAAGCGUGGGGGAGCAAACAGGGAUUUAGAUACCCUGGUAGUCCACGCCGUAAACGAUGUCGACUAGCCGUUGGGAUCCCUU